rnacentral:lncRNA from 1 species
GGAUCACCUGAGGUCAGGAGUUUGAGACCAGCCUGACCAACAUUGAGAAACCCCGUCUCUACUAAAAACACAAAAUUAGCUGGGUGUGAUGGCUCAUGCCUGUAAUCCCAGCUACUUGGGAGGCUGAGGCAGGAGAAUCGCUUGAACCCGGGAGGUGGGGGUUGCGGUGAGCCAAGAUCACGCCAUUGCACUCCAGCCUGGGCAACAAGAGCGAAACUCCGUCUCAAAAAAAAAAAAAAAGAAAA